rnacentral:rRNA from 1 species
AAUAGAUACCCAGGUGGUCCACGCCGUAAACGGUGGGCACUAGGUGUGGGCGACAUUCCACGUCGUCCGUGCCGCAGCUAACGCAUUAAGUGCCCCGCCUGGGGAGUACGGCCGCAAGGCUAAAACUCAAAGGAAUUGUCGGGGGCCCGCACAAGCGGCGGAGCAUGUGGCUUAAUUCGACGCAACGCGAAGAACCUUACCAAGGCUUGACAUACACCGGAAACGUCCAGAGAUGGGCGCCCCCUUGUGGUCGGUGUACAGGUGGUGCAUGGCUGUCGUCAGCUCGUGUCGUGAGAUGUUGGGUUAAGUCCCGCAACGAGCGCAACCCUUGUCCCGUGUUGCCAGCAGGCCCUUGUGGUGCUGGGGACUCACGGGAGACCGCCGGGGUCAACUCGGAGGAAGGUGGGGACGACGUCAAGUCAUCAUGCCCCUUAUGUCUUGGGCUGCACACGUGCUACAAUGGCCGGUACAAUGAGCUGCGAUACCGCGAGGUGGAGCGAAUCUCAAAAAGCCGGUCUCAGUUCGGAUUGGGGU